AACGUACGCUGGCGGCACGCCUAACACAUGCAAGUCGAACGAAGUAGCAAUACUUAGUGGCAGACGGGUGAGUAACAUGUAGGUAUCUGCCCUUUGGCCUGGAAUAACACGAGGAAACUUGUGCUAAUACCGGAUAAGUCUUUACGGAGAAAGCUUUAUGCACCAUUGGAUGAGCCUGCACUUGAUUAGUUUGUUGGUGGGGUAAUGGCCUACCAAGACUGUGAUCAAUAGCUGAUUUGAGAGGAUGAUCAGCCACAUUGGGACUGAGACACGGCCCAAACUCCUACGGGAGGCAGCAGUGGGGAAUCUUGCACAAUGGAGGAAACUCUGAUGCAGCGAUGCCGCGUGAGUGAAGAAGGCCUUUGGGUUGUAAAGCUCUUUCGUCGGGGAAGAAAAUGACUGUACCCGAAUAAGAAGGUCCGGCUAACUUCGUGCCAGCAGCCGCGGUAAUACGAAGGGACCUAGCGUAGUUCGGAAUUACUGGGCUUAAAGAGUUCGUAGGUGGUUGAAAAAGUUGGUGGUGAAAUCCCAGAGCUUAACUCUGGAACUGCCAUCAAAACUUUUCAGCUAGAGUAUGAUAGAGGAAAGCAGAAUUUCUAGUGUAGAGGUGAAAUUCGUAGAUAUUAGAAAGAAUACCAAUUGCGAAGGCAGCUUUCUGGAUCAUUACUGACACUGAGGAACGAAAGCAUGGGUAGCGAAGAGGAUUAGAUACCCUCGUAGUCCAUGCCGUAAACGAUGUGUGUUAGACGUUGGAAAUUUAUUUUCAGUGUCGCAGCGAAAGCGAUAAACACACCGCCUGGGGAGUACGACCGCAAGGUUAAAACUCAAAUGAAUUGACGGGGACCCGCACAAGUAGUGGAGCAUGUGGCUUAAUUCGAAGAUACGCGCAGAACCUUACCAACACUUGACAUGUUCGUCGCGACUUUAAGAGAUUAGAGUUUUCGGUUCGGCCGGACGAAACACAGGUGCUGCAUGGCUGUCGUCAGCUCGUGUCGUGAGAUGUUGGGUUAAGUCCCGCAACGAGCGCAACCCUCACUUUUAGUUGCCAUCAUUAAGUUGGGCACUCUGAAAGAACUGCCAGUGAUAAGCUGGAGGAAGGUGGGGAUGACGUCAAGUCCUCAUGGCCCUUACGUGUUGGGCUACACACGUGCUACAAUGGUAUCUACAACAGGAAGCAAAACUGCGAGGUUAAGCAAAUCCUCAAAAGAUACCUCAGUUCGGAUUGCACUCUGCAACUCGAGUGCAUGAAGCUGGAAUUACUAGUAAUCGUGGAUCAGCGUGCCACGGUGAAUGCGUUCCCGGGUCUUGUACACACCGCCCGUCACACCAUGGGAGUUGGUUCUACCUUAAGGCAAGGUUUCAAACCCUUGACCACGGUAUAGUCAGCGACUGGGGUG
rnacentral:rRNA from 1 species